AUGGCGGACGGCGGAGGGGAGCCGGACCACCUGGCGGGGGAGAGGGCCACGGCGCAGUUCGACGUCGACGGCAUGAAGGUCGCCUGGGCCGGCUCCCGCCACGCCGUCGAGGUCGCCGACCGCAUGGCCCGACUCGUCGCAUCCGACCCCGUGUUCCGCAAGGAUACCAGGACGAUGCUCUCCAGGAAGGAGCUGUUCAAGGACACGCUCAAGAAGGCUGCGCACGCCUGGAAGCGCAUCGUCGAGCUGCGUCUCACAGAGGAGGAAGCAAACUUGCUGAGGCUGUACGUUGACCAGCCCGGUUAUGUCGAUCUCCAUUGGGGCAUGUUUGUUCCUGCCAUAAAAGGGCAAGGGACUGAAGAGCAACAGAAGAAGUGGUUGCCGAUGGCUUACAAGUUCCAAAUAAUUGGAUGCUAUGCUCAGACUGAACUUGGUCAUGGUUCAAAUGUUCAGGGUCUUGAGACAACUGCCACAUUUGAUCCAAGUACAGAUGAGUUUGUUAUGCACAGCCCAACUCUGACCUCUAGCAAGUGGUGGCCUGGUGGCUUGGGAAAAGCUUCCACUCAUGCAGUUGUCUAUGCUCGUCUCAUAACGGAAGGAAAAGACUAUGGCAUACAUGGUUUCAUCGUGCAGUUGCGAAGCUUAGAUGACCACUCUCCGCUUCCUGGAGUUACUCUCGGUGAUAUUGGUGGAAAGUUUGGCAGUGGGGCGUAUAACAGCAUGGAUAAUGGUGUUCUGCGCUUCGACCAUGUGCGCAUCCCAAGGGAUCAAAUGUUGAUGAGGCUUUCCCAAGUUACAAGGGAGGGAAAGUAUGUGCACUCAGAUGUGCCAAAGCAGCUGCUAUACGGGACAAUGGUUUAUGUUCGUCAGACAAUUGUCGCAGAUGCUUCCAAGGCUUUGUCCCGUGCUGUUUGCAUUGCUGUAAGGUAUAGUGCUAUCCGGAAGCAGUUCGGUUCCCAAGAUGGUGGCCCUGAGACUCAGGUCCUCAAUUACAAGACUCAACAGAGCAGGCUCUUCCCUUUGCUGGCUUCAGCUUAUGCAUAUAGAUUUGUGGGUCAGUGGCUGAAGUGGCUGUACACGGAUGUCACACAGAAGCUGGAGGCUAAGGAUUACUCAACGCUGCCAGAGGCUCAUGCCUGUACCGCUGGGCUCAAGUCUGUGACAACAUCUGCCACAGCUGAUGCGAUUGAAGAGUGCCGAAAGCUCUGUGGUGGACAUGGUUACCUGAACAGCAGUGGGCUUCCAGAACUGUUUGCGGUCUAUGUUCCUGCCUGCACCUAUGAAGGAGACAAUGUCGUUUUGCUCUUGCAGGUUGCAAGGUUUUUGAUGAAGACCGUUGCUCAGGUGGCCGCUGGGAAGCAACCUGUCGGGACCAUAGCUUACAUGGGCAACAUACAGCACUUGAUGCAAUGCAAAAGCGCUGUAAAUACAGCUGAAGACUGGCUGAAUCCUGCUGCCAUAAAGGAGGUGUUUGAAGCUAGGGCCCUGAGGAUGGCGGUAAACUGUGCCCAGAACAUCAGCAAGGCGCCAAGCCAGGAAGAAGGUUUCUCUGAGCUGUCCCCUGAUUUGCUCGAGGCUGCCGUGGCUCACGUCCAGCUGAUCAUCGUGACCAAGUUCAUUGAGAAGCUGCAGGAGGACAUCCCUGGCCCUGGCGUGAAGGAGCAGCUCCAUAAGCUGUGCAGCAUCUACGCGCUCCACCUGCUUCACAAGCACCUGGGCGACUUCCUGUCGACGGGGUGCGUCACGGCCAGGCAGGGCGCGCUGGCCAACGAGCUGCUCGGCAAGCUCUACGCGCAGGUGCGUCCUAACGCGGUGGCGCUGGUGGACGCGUUUGACUACACGGACCACUAUCUGGGGUCGGUGCUGGGGCGGUAUGAUGGGGACGUGUACCCGGCGCUGUACGAGGAGGCGUGGAAGGACCCGCUGAACGAGACGGUGGUUCCGGACGGGUACCAGGAGCACCUCCGGCCGCUGCUCAAGCAGCAGCUCAAGCUCUCCAGGCUAUGA
rnacentral:rRNA from 1 species